AUUGAACGCUGGCGGCAGGCCUAACACAUGCAAGUCGGGCGAGCGGCGGACGGGUGAGUAAUGUAUGGGGAUCUGCCUGAUGGCGGGGGAUAACUACUGGAAACGGUAGCUAAUACCGCAUACCAUCAGAUGAACCCAUAUGGGAUUAGCUUGUAGGUGAGGUAACGGCUCACCUAGGCGACGAUCCCUAGCUGGUCUGAGAGGAUGAUCAGCGACACGAGGACUGAGACACGGCCCAGACUACUACGGGAGGCAGCAGUGGGGAAUAUUGCACAAUGGGCGCAAGCCUGAUGCAGCGACGCCGCGUGGGGGAUGAAGGCUUUCGGGUUGUAAACCUCGUUCGCUAUCGAACGGGUAGGUGGAGAAGAAGCGCCGGCUAACUACGUGCCAGCAGCCGCGGUAAUAC
rnacentral:rRNA from 1 species